GAUACCUACGGGGGGCAGCAGUGAGGAAUAUUGGUCAAUGGGAGAGAUCCUGAACCAGCCAAGCCGCGUGAGGGAAGACGGCCCUAUGGGUUGUAAACCUCUUUUGUCGGAGAACAAAACCCGGGACGUGUCCCGGACUGCGUGUAUCCGAAGAAAAAGCAUCGGCUAACUCCGUGCCAGCAGCCGCGGUAAUACGGAGGAUGCGAGCGUUAUCCGGAUUUAUUGGGCGUAAAGCGGGUGCAGGCGGUUCAAUAAGGCUGAUGUGAAAGCAUUC
rnacentral:rRNA from 1 species